UAAUAGAUGAGCCUAAGUCGGAUUAGCUAGUUGGUGGGGUAAAGGCCUACCAAGGCGACGAUCUGUAGCGGGUCUGAGAGGAUGAUCCGCCACACUGGGACUGAGACACGGCCCAGACUCCUACGGGAGGCAGCAGUGGGGAAUAUUGGACAAUGGGGGGAACCCUGAUCCAGCCAUGCCGCGUGUGUGAAGAAGGCCUUUUGGUUGUAAAGCACUUUAAGCGAGGAGGAGGCUACUUAGAUUAAUACUCUGAGAUAGUGGACGUUACUCGCAGAAUAAGCACCGGCUAACUCUGUGCCAGCAGCCGCGGUAAUACAGAGGGUGCAAGCGUUAAUCGGAUUUACUGGGCGUAAAGCGUGCGUAGGUGGCCAAUUAAGUCAAAUGUGAAAUCCCCGAGCUUAACUUGGGAAUUGCAUUCGAUACUGGUUGGCUAGAGUAUGGGAGAGGAUGGUAGAAUUCCAGGUGUAGCGGUGAAAUGCGUAGAGAUCUGGAGGAAUACCGAUGGCGAAGGCAGCCAUCUGGCCUAAUACUGACACUGACGUACGAAAGCAUGGGGAGCAAACAGGAUUAGAUACCCUGGUAGUCCAUGCCGUAGACGAU
rnacentral:rRNA from 1 species